AAGUUGGUGCAGUGAUCACGCAGGUUCAAGCACUGCCAARGGUGYGACAUGGUGACGGAGAUCGUCCCAUGCCGUCAGCUCGAGGGAGUGCCGUACUCCUCGUGAACACGGACCAGCAGCGGUUGGACUGAAGCCAAAAGGCAGCAGCGGAAGGUGAGUUGAUGUGGGCUUGCUCGCRUUGACAGCUUAUASCCCUGCUGCAUGGCGCUUCGGUCCGACCGAGGAAGUUGGGCAGCCCUUGCCCGUUGUGGUAACGCCGAAUGGCGGGGCCUCCCAACACGAGUUAUCCGUGCGGUGUGGACUGCAUGCAGUGCUCGCCGUCACRGUGAUCUCRGGGKGGUGASUGUCACUUGUGUACC
rnacentral:sRNA from 1 species